UCCUGCAGACUGCCUCUGGAAUGUUAGCAUACAACUGAAAAAUCAGGAUGUUCAGCUGGGUGGUGAAAGUGGUUCCCCAGCCUCCUGAUCCUCCAGGAAAACUUGGGGAGGAAGACAAGCCCAUACCACCUCCAGACAAGAAAGUGUCAUUUAAAGAGGAAGCUCCAAAGGAAGGCCCCAAACCAGUCAAGCCUAAAGAGGAAGAAGUCUCACAGGAAACUGGUAACCAGAGUGGAGUGUUGACCUGGCUCUCUCAUGGCUUCUCUAGUGCUCUGCCCCAGCCAGCAGGAAGCCCGAGGCUGUCCAGAGCAAAUUCAGAGGUGAAGGAUGAUGCAUCGGGCACCAGUAAGGCAGAUGAAGCUGAAGGCAGCGGAGUCAUGGGCUGGUUCGUGCAGGGACUGGGAAAAGUGGUUCCUCAACCAGAUGACAAGUAUAAAGAAACAGCGGAAGCGGAAGAGAGCACAGAGGUGCAUGAAAUGAAAGAUGUCCCUGACGCUGAGCCUCUCAUCCCUGUUGUGGAGCUUGUGUCAGAUGACGAGGAGGAUAACAAAGCUGCCCCUCCAAGUGUCAUUAAUUGGAUAAAGCAAGGCUUAGAGAAGGUGGUCCCACAGCCAGUUGAUGGUCACUCAGAGGUCACAGUAAAGAAGGAAUCAGUGAUAUCCCCUCCUCCUGAAAUCUCCAAGGCUGAGGAGGAAUCUAUUAGCUCGAAUAUGGUCGGCUGGAUUGUGUCGGGCUUUGGCCGCAUCAUGCCUCAACCUGUGCUGAAAACUGGGGUAAGUGCCUCUAUAGACUGUUCUAAUGGGCCUACCCAAAGACCCAGCUCUUGAAUGUAUUGCAAGCGGCUCUUUUUUUCUUUCCUUUUUUUUCACAAAACGAAGGCUCCAGCUAAUUUGAAAUUUGCUUUACUUUGCAGGAGAACUGUGAAUCAAUGCAAAAUGGUGAGUAGUCCUUCUAAUUCGCCACCAUGAUCAUUCUUGUUCAUUGGUAUAGUAUGCCAUGCUUGUGCUAUUUGAAUGUAGGCCAUAGGUGAUGCACAGAGGACAGCAACGGAGGUAAAAGGGACCUUGAGAGUAGGUGCCAUAUGAAAGUGACCUUGAGAGUAGAUGCCAUAUGAAAUUGCAAGGUACAGGUGGAUUGAGGUUUAGAGACUCCUAACAUAAGGCAAGAAGUCCACAUGUUGAAUUAGCAAAGGAACAUUGGCUUUUGCAAGAUUUACGUGGAAAGGGUAGACAUGACCUGAUACUAGUAAGGUCAGCACUAAAGCACUGUUUCCCAACCCUGCUCCAAGCCUGACUCGCUUCCCUACCAGCUCAUACUCACCUAACUCAGCUAAUUAAGUGCAUUACAAGUCAUCAGAUGAGUCCAAUCAGGGUGAUUAGAGAACAGGAGAGACCCAAAACAUGCAAUGCCAUGAGGUGCCAGCAACACGUUUGGGAAACACUGGACCAAAGGUGAGGUGCUUAGCUGUGGGAUAGACUCUAACUCGGCCCUUCUUCUCCUUCUGUUUCAGGGAAAGCCCCCUAAACAAAAGGAGGAGAGGACUGGGAGAGUCACUCACAUGCACCUACAGAUACACAGAGACAGUGGCAGAAAGAAUGGCAAACUGACAAACAGACAGACAGACAGACAGACAGACAGACAGACAGAUGCAGCAAUUACAAACAGGCAGCUUUAUGAGCGCAGCUGUGUAUCAAGCACUUUGUUUUUCAUGGAUAGUGGUGCAGUGUGAAGUAAUGCUUGGCUUUGCAUAGGAGAUUAUUCAGUGCUACGGUUUGUUUGGAAUCAGGAAAAAUAUAAAAUUAGUCUUCAUUGUGAGGCUUUCACUGUUUACAUUGUAACAUUUGCACUUUGUUUGAAAGUAAUAUUUAUAAUUCAAGUAUUCAGUUUAUCCUAUGACGUUGUUGCCAUCAGAGGAACUUGUUUAAGCACAUACUGUUACCCAAAUCCAUCAAUAGCAUGCUUUAUCCGUGAAGCAGGAAAACAAUUUAACUGCUUUCACCUUGCGCCUUGAACUGGUCAUGUAAUUGCAUAAUACAGGCAUUGCAUAUGCUCAUAUCAGAUUUCACAUAAUGAAAGUCAUCACUGGAAAUAUUGCUAGCACAGUUCAGGCAACUAAUCCAUUUUUUAUUAUACAAUGAAUUCAAUGACAGAAUAUUGUAUGAUGAUUACUGGUUACACAACUGAGAGUUAUUGCCAAGUAAAAAAAACAGCAAGAUGAAGAACAUUUGUGAAUAAGUAUAUGCAAAGAUCAAUGAACAUUCAAGGUUUUGCCAUGUAUCAGAUAUUGUGCAGUAUGUUUUAAUUAAAUAAAUGAGCAGAGAAUGCUGUGUGUGAUUAAGGC
rnacentral:lncRNA from 1 species